rnacentral:rRNA from 1 species
AGAGUUUGAUCAUGGCUCAGGAUGAACGCUAGCGGCAGGCUUAACACAUGCAAGUCGAGGGGCAGCGGGAUGUAGCAAUACAUUGCCGGCGACCGGCGGAUGGGUGCGUAACGCGUAUGCAACCUACCUUAUACAGGGGAAUAACCUUUCGAAAGGGAGACUAACACCCCAUAGUAUUGAUUUAAGGCAUCUUAGAUUAAUUAAAUAUUUAUAGGUAUAAGAUGGGCAUGCGUACGAUUAGCUAGUUGGUAAGGUAACGGCUUACCAAGGCGACGAUCAUUAGGGGUUCUGAGAGGAAGGUCCCCCACACUGGUACUGAGACACGGACCAGACUCCUACGGGAGGCAGCAGUGAGGAAUAUUGGUCAAUGGGCGCAAGCCUGAACCAGCCAUGCCGCGUGCCAGGAGGACGGCCUUAUGGGUUGUAAACUGCUUUUACAUAAGACUAACCGUAUAUUUGCGAAUAUACCUGAAUGUAUUAUGAGAAUAAGGAUCGGCUAACUCCGUGCCAGCAGCGGC